rnacentral:rRNA from 1 species
AGUCGAGCGAGAAAGUGUAGCAAUACAUGAGUACAGCGGCGCACGGGUGAGUAACACGUGGAUAACCUGCCUCAAAGUGGGGAAUAACACCGGGAAACCGGUGCUAAUACCGCAUAUUCUGAUGGAGCCUGCGGGCUUUGUCAGUAAAGGAGCAAUUCGCUAUGAGAGGGGUCCGCGGCUGAUUAGCUAGUUGGUGAGGUAAUGGCUCACCAAGGCAACGAUCAGUAGCCGGUCUGAGAGGACGGUCGGCCACACUGGAACUGAGACACGGUCCAGACUCCUACGGGAGGCAGCAGUGGGGAAUUUUUCGCAAUGGGGGCAACCCUGACGAAGCAAUGCCGCGUGGAUGAUGAAGUAUUUCGGUACGUAAAAUCCUUUCGACAGGGACGAAACCGCAAGGUUGACGGUACCUGUAGAAGAAGCCCCGGCUAACUCCGUGCCAGCAGCCGCGGUAAUACGGGGGGGGCAAGCGUUGUUCGGAAUUACUGGGCGUAAAGGGUGCGUAGGCGGCUUUCUAAGUUGGAUGUGAAAACUAUGGGCUCAACCCAUAGCCUGCAUCCAAAACUGGAGAGCUUGGGUUCUGGAGGGGAAAGCGGAAUUCCUGGUGUAGCGGUGAAAUGCGUAGAUAUCAGGAGGAACACCGGUGGCGAAGGCGGCUUUCUGGACAGACACCGACGCUGAGGCACGAAAGCUAGGGGAGCAAACAGGAUUAGAUACCCUGGUAGUCCUAGCCCUAUACGAUGGAUACUUGCUGUGAGGGGGAUUGAAACCCUUUGUGGCGAAGCUAACGCAUUAAGUA